AACUUUGGCGGCAGUAUCUAACACAUGCAACUCGAGCGAGAAGGAUCCUUCGGGGUCUGGAGAGCGGCGGACGGGUGAGUAACUGCGUGGGAACGUGCCCUUAGGUGGGGGACAACAGUUGGAAACGACUGCUAAUACCGCAUAAGCCAAUUUGGGAAAGCCUUCGGGCGCCUUGGGAUCGGCCCGCGUUAGAUUAGGUAGUUGGUGGGGUAAAGGCCCACCAAGUUUUACCAUCUAUAGCUGGUUUGAGAGAAUGAUCAGCNACACUGGGACUGAGACACGGCC
rnacentral:rRNA from 1 species